CAGUCGCCGCGGGAAUACGAAGUGGGCUAGCGUUGUUCGGAAUCACUGGGCGUAAAGGGUGCGUAGGCGGGAUUUUAAGUCAGGGGUGAAAUCCCGAGGCUCAACCUCGGAACUGCCUUUGAUACUGGGAUCCUUGAGUCCGGAAGAGGUGAGUGGAACUGCGAGUGUAGAGGUGAAAUUCGUAGAUAUUCGCAAGAACACCGGUGGCGAAGGCGGCUCACUGGUCCGGAACUGACGCUGAGGCACGACAGCAUGGGGAGCAAACAGGAUUAGAUACCCGCGUAGUCCCUGUCUCUUAUAC
rnacentral:rRNA from 1 species